CUCUGUGUCUCUCUCUGUCUCUGUCUCUCUCUGUCUCUCUCUGUCUCUCUCUCUCUGUCUCUCUCUCUCUCUCUGUCUCUCUCUCUCUCUCUCUCUCUCUCUCUCUCUCUCUCUCUCUCUCUCUCUCUCUCUCUCUCUCUGUGUGUGUGUGUUUGCUUCCCCAGUUUUGGAAUUAUAAGCGUUUGCCUGUGCCUGACAUUAUUACAUGGCUUAAGAAUAGGAUCCUCAUGUUUGUGUGGUAAAUGCUUUUUACUGAUGAAGCAAUCUCCCCAGCCCUUAUUAUUUUUCUUAGUGAGACCAAAAUUAAUAUAAAAUACUAUCUUGCCAGCUUCUCUUGCAACAGAGUUGAGUAUCAAUUACUUCUUACUGCCAUAAUGCUGGAUAGGAAACCUCAGUGGCUUAAUACAAUAAGCGUUUACUGAGGGCUGCAGUCUUGAGUUGAUUUAGCUGGGGCUCAGCUGAGCAUUUUAUUGGCCUCUGUUUUCUGGGUAAUCUUACAUGCCUACUGAUUGGCUGUCAUUGUGAACAAUUGGAAGUUACACCUCCAUCAGGGAAGUCAGGAAGGUUCACAUGGUAAUUGCUGAGGAUUGAGAAGUGGGUACACACAGGGGGUCUUGAAACCUUAGAACACCAUCAGUUUGUCUACAUUCAAUUGGCCAGAGUAAUAUACAAGUCCAGCCUAAGUGAAAUGACUGUAGAACUGUUUCUUGUGUGAAAAGAAAUAUGAAGACUUGCUGCAAAAGGUGUAAGGGAGAAGUUAUGAGAUGCAUUCAAUCAUAUAAUCAAUUACCCACACUAUAUGACCUAAUCUUAGAUAAUGUAAUGCUUUGCUUAAACAGGGUAGCUUGUGGUCACAAAGGGCUAAGCCUAAUGAUUAAGAUAACAAAAAGAGAAUAACAUAAAAAGGUUAGAAGGAACUAAAGUUCCCGAUGAUACAACUGAUUCUCUGAAUUAACCCUGUAAUAAUCUUCUGGUGGAUAAUUUGUGGUGAGAGAUAAUGCAUUUCUUCUGCUAUCUCUAUUGUUUAAAUCACUUGAAGACACUGGCUGUUCUGUGACUUGAGACAUAAAGCAUUCCUGUCUGCUCUAAGGACUCAUGGGUUGAGGUAUCCCAUUUCUGUUCUACUUUAUGAGCACAUUGCAUACUGUGACAGAUGCUGGGCUUCUGUGCUUUCCCAGACUUCCUUGCAGCAAGGUGAUAGGUCCAUAAAUCAAGGGCUCAUACUCUAGCGUUUGAAUUAGAAGACAGCAAUAUGUAGAAGCAAGGGUGGGCUACCAAGGCAGUAACAGCUUUGAUGGUAACAACCUGUGUGAUUGCCUAAUGCCACCUUGGAGAAAGCAAGAAGGCUGGAAAUUCAGAUGCAUUCAUGAAGCUCAGUGAUAGAGAUCACUUCGAGGCAGAAAAGAUUUUUAUAAGAAUGUACAGAGAUUUUUGAUGCUGAGCCAGCACUACCCCCAAUGCUUGGCAGCAGUUACAUAUUGAUGGUGGACAACAAAUCUCAUCUUAUAUUCAUCAUUUCUAUUACAAGGACUUGUUGAGAAGACUUCCCAUCUCAAGGCCUUUCUCACUUCUCCAGCUUGUCAAUAAGCUAUAUUUUAUAGCUCAACCCAGUCUCUAUUUCUGGACAAAGACUAUUUCUAGCAUGCAUUUAGAGGAGACCUGUUUUCUGAUUCUAGCUGUCUCAUGCCAUAGUACUCCUCCUUCUUGUCUUAGCAGCUAGAGGCAGAAAGAAGGUGAAAAUGUACAAUAGGUUGUCUCUAGGAGUUAGGGCCUGGUUUCCCACUUUGAGUCUCUGAAAAGGAAUGUAUCCUGGCACCACUUUGAUGUUAGUCCAAUGAGAUCUAAGUAGAAAUUUUAAGCCAAAGAACUAUGAAACUUGUGCUGAUUAGGUCUUUAAAUUGGUGAUCUUUUGUUAUACCAGAUAUAGAAAAUAAAUAGAAUUCUUUUUUUUCCAAUGUAAAUGGUGUUUAAUGUUCCUAAUGGAUAUCUAAUUAUCUUUUUUCCAACUUUUUUUUUAUUUGAAUUAGAAACUGGAUUGUUUUACAUGUCAAUCCCAGUUCCCUUCUCCCUCCUGUCCUCCCCUACCACCACCCCCCCAAACUAAAACCCAACAUAUCACAUAUCCUUUCUGCUCCCCCUGGAUGGUGAGGCCUUCCAUGGGGUGUCAUCAGUGUCUAUCGUAUCCUUUGGGAUAGGGCCUAUUACCCCUUAAAACCAUAUACCUGAUGUGAAUACACAGUUACUUGAGGAUAUUCCCCAGUGGCAAAGUUCAGGGAUGGUAUUUGCACUGGUUCUACAUAUUACUUAUCUCAGUGGCUUGUUAUUGUUAUGUCCAAUAUGUGAGUGAGAUCUGAAAGAUGAACAAGAUAUUGGAUCAUGACCAGAUUAGAAUUAUGGAUGGAAUUCUUUAAGAUAAUGGGUCAUAUAAAGCAAGUGGGGUGAUUAUGAGUUUGUAAUAUCAGCAGAGGGAUGAAAUGGUUUUCACCAUUGAUGACCAUUUGUGCUGUGGACUCAAGGGGUAGGGCAUUCAGGUGGCAGCCUAGACCUAUGCCUUAGAUUUCAUACUAAAAUUCUAGAAGUUUUUGUAUUUUUUUCUCUUUAUUUUUCCUUUUUAGUAUAAUAUGGAGACACUGGGAAAUUACAUUCAUCAGAAACUUCUAUCUGUCUUAACUCCUUCAUUAUUGAUAUACAGGUCCAUUCGGCUGAAGUCCCUGAAUCUGCCAGGAAUAGGCCUCCACCUUGCCAGCCUGAAAGUCUCUGCUCAUUAGUCACAGAUCCAAAGAUCCCCUGAGGCCCCUGAGUGAAGUUGGGCAUGGAUGCCAGGUGGAUGGUGGGGUUAGAUUAGACUGGAUUGGAGUUUCAUCUUCCCUAGUCUGCCUUCUACUUGACAAUUUGCAUAAGAAAUAACCUUACUUCCAGGUUUGGUCACAGCCCGAGGGAGGAGGCUGAGUAUUUCACCAUGUCUCUAACACCAGGGCUACAUCCCUGCUGCUGAAGUCAGGAUACCCCUGUGAAGUAUGUACUGUCAUUAUCUACAUUUUAGAGAUGAAGAAUCAAAGUCCCAGAGAAACCAAGUCACUCACUAUUCAAGGACACACCCAGUCAGUGAUGAAGCCAGGAUUUGAACCAGACUUCUGCUGUUGAAAGCCACACAUCUGGAUGCCUAUUAACUCCAUAUCUAGUGUAUUUCUGGGCUGAGAAAUGAAAUGAAGGUCACAGGUCUUGAUUUCAGGUGAUCACAGUCUGGUAGCAGAACCUCUCUCAGACGUCUAGGGAUGACUAGAAGAGGAACUCUGGGAAAGCAGAUGAUGAAAAGCUUGUACCUACGUGUUCAUGAGCUGAAUAUGGAACCUGG
ensembl:lncRNA